rnacentral:rRNA from 1 species
UACGUAGGGGGCAAGCGUUGUCCGGAUUUAUUGGGCGUAAAGAGCGUGUAGGCGGCCAAGCAGGUCCGCUGUGAAAACUCGAGGCUUAACCUCGAGAUGUCAUCGGAAACCAUUUGGCUAGAGUCCGGAAGAGGAAAGUGGAAUUCCUGGUGUAGCGGUGAAAUGCGCAGAUAUCAGGAGGAACACCGGUGGCGAAGGCGGUUCUCUGGGCAUGUCCUGACGCUGAGGAGCGAAAGUGUGGGGAGCGAACAGG